AAGUCCCCGACCAUUGAAGGACCAGCAAUCCACAAGGUCCCCGAGUCAUGCGUUGCAUACCGCGAGGUAUGGGGCGAAGCGUUGACAGGGGUGUUGACAGGCCAGCCAUUGAGCCACGAAAUGUAUAUUAAAUUACCGGGUGCCGACGUUGUACUGUUAACGGAAGGCAACAUCAUAGGGUGCGAUACUGCGAGUGCCACAUGGACCCGGCGGGGUCUGAGACC
rnacentral:ncRNA from 5 species